CACGUACUGUGCGAACGUUAUUCGGAAUCACUGGGCUUAAAGGGUGCGUAGGCGGUUUAGUAAGUAGGGUGUGAAAUGCCAGGGCUCAACCUUGGCACGGCGCUCUAAACUGCUAAACUUGAGUGAGAUAGGGGUGUACGGAACUUCCGGUGGAGCGGUGAAAUGCGUUGAUAUCGGAAGGAACACCGGUGGCGAAAGCGGUACACUGGGUCUUAACUGACGCUGAGGCACGAAAGCUAGGGUAGCGAAC
rnacentral:rRNA from 1 species